UCUGGAAAACCAAACUUGAAACUGAACUCUCUCUUCUCUGCUCAUAGCAAACAACAACAACAAAAUCCGCUCUCGGUCUUGGCUUUUGGCGGACAAACAACAACAGCUUUUGAUUGAAGACAAACUCAAGAAACUAGCAGCAACAAUUAUUAGUGAUAAAGAGUGAAAUCGAAUUACCUGCGGCAAGGAGGUGUUUGCCGGACUUUGUUGAAGGCUCUUUGAUGAAGGUGAUGCCACAACACCUCUUUGGAUAUUAGGGAGACUUGAAGAUGGAUUUCAAGUAGAAACCUUCCACCAAGGUAUGAACUACUUCUUCACCCCUUUUCAAACUAUGGAACUUUGUAGCUAUGAAUUCUCUCUUUUCAAGUGGUUUACCAAGAAACUUGAAAACUUAUGAGAGAAGAGGGAGAAAUGAGAAAGCUAGUAGUAUGGUAGCUUUGGUGUCAUUAACUUCAAAGAAAACACUUCUAUUUAUAGGAAAAGUUAAGGACGUGUUUGGCAUUUGGUAAACUUUGAUUGGCAAGUUAUAAUCAUUGCAAGAAUAAGAAUAUUCUUCAUGACAUAUUGCUUAUGACAUAGCUAUGCAAGUGACAUAAAAAAUAUCUCUUUGGUUCCUUUUUGUUUUGACUUAUUUUUUUGAAUUAUUGAACUUUUGCUAAUCUCACCCCUUUUUGUUUUCUUUUUCAUGUGA